AACGAACGCUGGCGGCAUGCCUAACACAUGCAAGUCGAACGAGACCUUCGGGUCUAGUGGCGCACGGGUGCGUAACGCGUGGGAACCUGCCUUUAGGUUCGGAAUAACUCAGAGAAAUUUGAGCUAAUACCGGAUGAUGUCUUCGGACCAAAGAUUUAUCGCCUAUAGAUGGGCCCGCGUUGGAUUAGCUAGUUGGUGGGGUAAAGGCCUACCAAGGCGACGAUCCAUAGCUGGUCUGAGAGGAUGAUCAGCCACACUGGGACUGAGACACGGCCCAGACUCCUACGGGAGGCAGCAGUGGGGAAUAUUGGACAAUGGGCGAAAGCCUGAUCCAGCAAUGCCGCGUGAGUGAUGAAGGCCUUAGGGUUGUAAAGCUCUUUUACCCGAGAUGAUAAUGACAGUAUCGGGAGAAUAAGCUCCGGCUAACUCCGUG
rnacentral:rRNA from 1 species